ensembl:lncRNA translation initiation factor IF-2-like
AUGUCCCUGUGUGUCCCCACGUGUCCCCAUCAAGCGGGGGUGUCCCCAUCUGCCCCCGUGGCGAUGUCCCCAUGAUGUGGGGGUGUCCCCACGUCCCCACGUGUCCCCAUAAGGUGGGGGUGUCCCCAUGAUGUGGGGCUGCCCCCCAUGUCCCCACGUCCCCACAUGUCCCCGUGUGUCCCCACGUCCCUGCGCCCCACACCCACGCUCAGCCCCGCCGCGUCCCUGCGUCCCCACGCCACCGCGUGUCCCUCUGUCCCCGUGCCCCCAGGUGGGGCAGGCCGUGGGGCAGGCCGUGGGGCAGGCCGUGGGGCAGCGCGGUGCCCGGCUGGCCGUGGGGCAGCGGCUGGCGGCGGUGGCCCGCAGCAACGCGGUGACAUUGGGGCGGCUGCGGGACGAGGUGACGGCGCUGGAGCUGGAGCUGCAGCACAGGAGACACCGAGGGGGGGGACAGCGGGCACGGGCGCAGCGGCGCGCGGCGGAGCUGGGGCGGAGGUUGGAGCAGAGGGAGAGGGACAGGGACAGCGCCCGGCGGGAGGUGGCCGAGGUGACACGGGAGCUGGGCACCGCCAGCGCUGGGCUGCGGCACGUGGCCCACCAGCUGCGGCA